rnacentral:rRNA from 1 species
GGGUUUGAUCAUGGCUCAGAAUGAACGUUGGCGGCGUGGAUUAGGCAUGCAAGUCGAGCGAGAAGUUUACUUCGGUAAAUGGACAGCGGCGAAAGGGACAGUAAUGUGUAGGUACCUACCCCCCGAUCUGGGAUAGCUGCGGGAAACUACAGGUAAUACCGGAUAAUGUCUUCGGACCAAAGGUGUGAUUCCGUCAGGGGAGGGGCCUGCAUCCUAUUAGCUUGUUGGUGAGGUAAUGGCUCACCAAGGCAACGAUGGGUAGCGGGUGUGAGAGCAUGACCCGCGUCAUUGGGACUGAGACACUGCCCAGACAUCUACGGAUGGCUGCAGUCGAGAAUCUUCGGCAAUGGGCGAAAGCCUGACCGAGCGACGCCGCGUGCGGGAUGAAGGCCCUCGGGUUGUAAACCGCUGUCGUUGGGUAGGAAAUGCAAAAGG